rnacentral:rRNA from 1 species
UGAAUACGAGACGCUAAGGCGUCGAAGUAGUGUAUGUCAUACUUCCAAGAAAAGCUUGCACUGUCAUAGAUAAAAAACGCCUGUACCAUAACCGACACAGGUGGGUAGGUAGAGUAUACUAAGGGGCGCGAGAUAACUCUCUCUAAGGAACUCGGCAAAAUAACUCCGUAACUUCGGGAGAAGGAGUGCCUUAUUCUUAAGGUUGCAAUAACAAGAUCCAAGCAACUGUUUAUCAAAAACACAGGUCUCCGCUAAGUCGUAAGACGAUGUAUGGGGGCUGACGCCUGCCCAGUGCCAGAAGGUUAAAGAAGCUGGUUAGCAUUUGCGAAGCUAGUAACUGAAGCCCUGGUGAACGGCGGCCGUAACUAUAACGGUCCUAAGGUAGCGAAAUUCCUUGUCGGGUAAGUUCCGACCCGCACGAAAGGCGUAAUGAUUUGGAUACUGUCGCGGAGAGGGGCUCGGUGAAAUAGACUUGUCUGUGAAGAUGCGGAAUACCUGCACCAGGACAGAAAGACCCUAUGAAGCUUUACUGUAACUUGAGAUUGAAAUUGGACUUUAUUCGCGCAGUAUAGGUGGGAGGCGUUGAUUAUAAUCUUGCGGGAUUAUUGGAGCCAUUAGUGAGAUACCACUCUUGUAAUGUUAGAUUUCUAACUUUGAAUCAUUAUCUGGUCAAAGAACAGUUUCAGGCGGGCAGUUUGACUGGGGCGGUCGCCUCCUAAACGGUAACGGAGGCGUACAAAGGUUUCCUCUGAACGGUUAGAAAUCGUAUCUAGAGUGUAAAGGCAUAAGGAAGCUUGACUGUGAGACCUACAAGUCGAGCAGGGACGAAAGUCGGUCUUAGUGAUCUGACGGUACUGAGUGGAAAGGCCGUCACUCAACGGAUAUAAGUUACUCUAGGAUAACAGGCUGAUCUCCCCCAAGAGUUCACAUCGACGGGGAGGUUUGGCACCUCGAUGUCGGCUCAUCGCAUCCUGGGGCGGUAGUACGUCCCAAGGGUUGGGCUGUUCGCCCAUGAAAGCGGUACGCGAGCUGGGUUCAGAACGUCGUGAGACAGUUCGGUCCAUAUCCGGUGUAGGCGUUAGAAUAUUGAGAGGAGCCUUCUUUAGUACGAGAGGACCGAGAAGGACAUACCUCUGGUGUACCAGUUAUCGUGCCAACGGUAAACGCUGGGUAGCUAUGUAUGGAGUGGAUAACCGCUGAAAGCAUCUAAGUGGGAAGCCCACCUCAAGAUAAGUAUUCUCA